CGUCCUGGUUACCACGGCAUCUCUCAGCAAACAGGUGGACCUGAGAACCUAAGAGGAACAGGAGGAAAUGUCUAAACGGCCUGACCUUGUUGGGGUUAUUUUGAAAGAUGCUUUCUGGUUAUGACUAAGAAGAUUUCUCCCUUUGCAAGAUGUCAAGGUCCUUGAUUGUAGCCGUAGGCUGUCCCUUUCUCAGCACCUGGCCCCGUUUAGACAAGUUGCCUUUCAGAGUUAAGCAUAUCUUGAGUCCCGAUGCCAGGAUGGCUUCUUGGAGGCCUCUGGCUUGUGAGUCCCAGCUACACUACUGGACAGGCUCCAAGAAACCAUGCAGCCAGGUGGGAUCUGCUCUUCAGCAGUCCUGGCUUUGCACAACUGUUGACUAAACAAGUACUGACAACCAUGGUGGAGCCUGCUAGAGAAGACCACAACCAAUCAAAAUACAGAGUUGUGGAGCCCAGUCCCAAUGGAAACAUGCAAGACUCUCCUGUACCUGAGGCACAGGGAACUUUGUAGAAGGAGCAGAAAGACUGUGAGAACCAACGGAUGGGACAGUUUUAUGGCUAAAGAAGCUCCUGUAAAGCCAGGCAUCCAUCCUGUCACCUACCAGCCAUUUGUCUCAGACUCCAGUCCCUGGACGAUAAGUUCUCAGUAACCCUGACUCAGUGAUCCCUUACCCCCAUCCUAAAAUGCACAGUCAUGAUCAUGUACUUGCUAUGAUAUGACUAAAUGCUUUUUAAAAAAAUUUCUGUAACUUGCUUACCCAGAACCCAAAGUUUGUUUUGUGCUGCUGUAAUCACUUAACUUGGUGGAACAUAACAGUUUUGGCUUGCU